rnacentral:lncRNA from 1 species
UUCGAAUUCACGAAUCACGAAGGAUUAAAGUGUGAUCAAAAUUCCAAUUCCAAAAAACUAAAAAUUUAUGUUUUUUAAUUAAAGAAAUAUUGUUGGUCAAAAAUCAAAAUUUGUAUAUAAUUAAAAUGUAUUUAUAGGGUAAUUAACCCUAAUUAUUAUAAUAAACUAAUCUAAUUGUUCAACAUAAUACACAGUUAUUCCCCCAAAACACUGAUAAAAC